UGUCAUAGUGUAGUCGUCUGCUGAUGC
rnacentral:sRNA from 1 species